GACGAACGCUGGCGGCGUGCUUAACACAUGCAAGUCGAACGGUGAUGCCCCAGCUUGCUGGAGUGGAUCAGUGGCGAACGGGUGAGUAACACGUGAGCAACCUGCCCCAGACUCUGGAAUAAGCGCUGGAAACGGCGUCUAAUACUGGAUACGAAACUGGCCCGCAUGGGCAUGGUUUGGAAAGUUAUUCGGUUUGGGAUGGGCUGGCGGCCUAUCAGCUUGUUGGUGAGGUAAUGGCUCACCAAGGCGACGACGGGUAGCCGGCCUGCGAGGGCGACCGGCCACGCUGGGACUGGGCCACGGCCCAGACUCCUACGGGAGGCAGCGGUGGGGAAUAGUGCACUAUGGGCGGAAGCCUGAUGCAGCGACGCCGCGUGAGGGAUGACGGCCUUCGGGUUGUAAACCUCUUUCAGCAGGGAAGAAGCGAAAGUGACGGUACCUGCAGAAGAAGCACCGGCUAACUACGUG
rnacentral:rRNA from 1 species